rnacentral:lncRNA from 1 species
CAGAUCUUACUUACAGAACCUUAGGUAAUGGACACCUCAUCCCUCCCAUAGCAUCAAGACCAACUACAUAGUGUGUGCAAAUUGAAGUAUGGAGCCCCUCGUCCAAAAAAUUACUAAGGAUUUUUAGAUAGUGACAGCAAAGCAUUGAACUAAGUACAACCCUCUUCUGAAGUGGGGCUGCAUGUGACUUGAUAGGUCAUAUCCAUGAAACUACCUUACAUACAGUUCCUUUAGCCCACAUCACCCUGCGCCAACACCCCUUCCCUGGAGAUUCUGCUCAAAUACCACUUUCUCCAAGAAGCCUCCCUUCUCUGCACUGUCUCCCAAGAGGGUGAUACCUUUGGUUCCUCUAGGUGUCCUGUCCUAGCACCAGACAGUGCUGUAUCAUUCUCAUUAUUGUCUGAGGCUCCUGCACUCUCCCCACCCUGCCACAUACCAAGUUAGCUGCUCCUUGAAUGCAGGGAAUUCUACUCUACAUUCCCAGAACUUAAUAUUGGGCCAGACAUCCUGCCAGCAGAAAGAGUUUUGUGGCAUGAAGUAGAGGAAAAUCUGACCCUGAGAGUAAUAGUGAACCUCAAU